GGGAGACUAAAUUCAAAGUGAGAACAAAACAGGGUGUUGCGAAUAAUCACAUUUAGACUACUUGGAACUUAAAGAAAUUGAACUCCAUUUCAUAGUGGAAAUUCAAUUAAAAAAUACCUAUUCGGUUAAACUACUUGGUUUAAUCUGUAACUUCUGUAGCACAAUAGAGAGAGUUGCGUAUACCUAUGUUGUCAGAAAAUAGUUCAAGGAUAAAAAUGACACUUUAAGGAUGGGUGCAGUUUAGAAAGGAAGUCCGGUUAUGGACUUGAGGGAAAACUGUUAUGAUUUAUUAACUUUGGUAAGUCUGGACAGUAAAAUAGAAUGGAUAGUGCAUUUGGGGAUGCUGAUCAUGGGGGAAUAUUAAAUGUCCCAGACCAAAUCAAAAUGGCUAAAUCCUGUCCUGUGUGGAAAAGUACUUUGAUUAUUAUGCCAUGAUGUGUCACAGCAUAAAAAAAUAAGAUUAUAAUCAUGUGAGAUUUAUGUUUUU
rnacentral:lncRNA from 1 species